CAAUCACAACCAGCGUGAGGAAGAAGUUCUCCACCGCGGGCGCGGUGCGUGUGCCGUAUCAUCGCUGUGUGUGCUUUAUCAUCGUCAUCGAUUCCAUCAUCGUGUGGUGGUGCGAUUUACCGUUGCAGCUGUACCGAGCGAUUGCCACGCGGUUCGAUUGGGACACCGUUUCAUUUCAUUCGCAUUGGUGUGCGAUUUAGGCCGCGCUAUCACCAAGCCACGUCAUCACUAAGCCACCAUCAUUGCUUAUGUCACCACUACCAACGUACCAUCAGAACCAGGUAGAACGUAGCCUAGGUAAAGGAACAACUGGGCAGCAUCAGAAAGCAGGAACGAUACCUCAGUCAUGAUUUAGACACUAGUGUUUAAGUACCUUUUUGUAAGGAUUAUAAGAAUAAUAAAUGCUAAAUUUAUUUCCUUAUAAUGUGAUUCUAUAAUUGGCGCAGCCGUACGGAAUUGGCUGAAGUGAGUGUAAGUGAAAAAGUGGCUAGUCGAGCACAACCAACUUGGCUGAAGCGAUCCCGCUAGUAGCAGCAUCUAAGACAGGAAGACCGAAGGAUUUAACUGACGUCGUCGAGGAGUAGUGGAUCCCCCCGCCUACACCACCUGGAGUACCAGCAACGUUCAGCCGAACCCACGCACACGACUUGAAACCGUUCACAAUUCCUCGCAAGCAAUAAGGCGAAAACGAUUACGAUUAUUGAUUACAUUUCAUACCCCUUCAAGAAAUAUCUUCCUUCUGAGAAAUCAUUUUCCCAUACCAUUUAAAUCCAUACGUUGGAGGACAGCGAUUGGUUGGUACCAACUUGUCAAAAGUUACAAUGAUAAAUAAGAAUUGAACACGGACUAUAUAAUUUCAAGUAUGGGAAAUCUACAAUUGAGGUAAUAACCAAUAAAACACACCACCACUCCUAGAGUCCCCGCUGAAACUAAAAAUCAAUAACUUCGAGACAAUCAACCCUGUUCCCAGUGAGAAAAAGGAUUCAAUUGACAAUCAUUAAUCAUCAAAAAUCAUCUUCACAGACUACCUGCCUCAAAUUGAAAAGGAUUGUCUCUUCGAUAUUAUCCUGGAUAAUCGAAACCCAUUUUUGAAACCAAACGAAAGAAAUACUUCUACUCCCACAAUAAAACACAAAAUUACGACAAUAGAGAACGCAUUAAUCUAUGGUACAUCCCGCAGAAACUUACCCGCCUUCAAAAAGAAUGUAGAAAAACAAGUGAGGGAAAUUUUAGAAAAUGGAAUAAUCAGAAAAUCCAUUGGACAAACCCAUCUUCUAUUUGGAUACUACCCAAAACAAAACCCAGACGCGUCAGGUAAACGUGAAACCCGAAUUGUUCAGGACUAUAAGAAACUGAACCGUCAAUGAUAAAAUACCUGCCCCCCUAAAUCGAAAAAGUUCUACACAAUGUUGGAAAACCCAUCUAAUUCACGAAAAUUGACCUCAAAUAAUUAUCUCAAAAAAAAAAAAAAAACCCAAACACAAAACUCAGAGAUCACAUAAAAAUUACCUGUAAUAACAUAAUUUUUUUCAAUUACAGUGAAUGAUAUACAGCAAAAGAGAAAUAGUCUAGCAAACCAGAAAAUGAAUGAUACGACUAAUACGGAUGAUAAUUCGGUUGAUCCAUCAGUCCCAUUUUACAACACCCCAAUUAAUUAUUAUAGAUAUUGUUUCAUUUCAGGAUAUUCAGCGCCAAAGCAGAUACCAUCAAAACACUUUUCCCACACUUCAAACGACCAGAUUUUGUUUUACAGAUACAAUAAACCAACAAUAUUACCAAAAUACCAAAACAUUAUCGCAAUAGUAGAUAGAAAUGUAAUACUUCAAUACACCAAUAACUCAUUUCACAAUAUUCAAUAAAAGUAAUUAAAAAAAAAAUCUAGAAAUAGUAAGAAGAAUUAAAUGUAGAAAUAGUAAGAAGAAUUUAAUAAAUUAAGGUUUAAGAGAUAAAACUUAAAAUAAUAGCUUGUAAACUAAGCAAUAUAACUAAUAUGCU